rnacentral:ncRNA from 1 species
UCUUUAAGAAUUCAUAAAAGGCCCAUAGUGGGUUUUUGAUACAAUGUGAUUUCUGCCUAGUGUUCUGAAUGUCAAAGUGAAGAAAUUCAGUGAAUCUCUGGUAAAUGGUAGGAGUAACUAUAAUUCUCUUUAAAUGGUAGGAGUAACUAUAAUUCUCUUUAAGGUAGCUAAAUGCCUCGUCAUCUAAUUAGGGACAUGCAUGAAUAAAUGAA